rnacentral:rRNA from 1 species
UACUGUACAAGCUUGAUGUCAGUGCUCAAUUCUAUCUUAUCUUAAAGCUAAGCAGAGUUGGGCCUAGUUAGUACUUGGAUGGGAGACCACUGAGAUUGUCAGGUGCCACAGUGG